GCCCCUCCGCGCCCUAUCCCUGGCCGGGCCGCCCGCCAGGCCGCGGUUUCCCGGAGCCGGCCCCCUCCCGCCCUCGCGGCCGGCUGAUGUCAUCUGCACACAACUUUCCGCUUCCCGGCCCGUCUCGGGGCCCUGAGUCAUCGCCGCCCCCGGCCCCGACGCUGGCCUGCGGCGUCUGUUUGUGCAGAGCGAGGCCCCGCCGGCCGGGCCUGACGUCAGGCUGGCAGGGCCUGGAACGGCCCCGCGCCGCUGCCCCCUGGGGGCAGGACAACACCUCUGGGGGCCGAGGGCAGGGCUCGCCCUCGGAAUCCGGCUUCGAAGCCGGCGCCACCUUGUGCCGGCCGCCUGACCUGAGGCAACUCUGUGCUUUCAACUCUCUGAACUUCGGUUUCCUCAUCUGCCAGUUGGCAGACGCUCAGCGAAUCUUCCUAGACUCACGGGGCGAAUUGUACAGUUGGGUAAAUCGAGGCCCAGAGAUGGGAAAAGGACGUCCAAGGUCGUACAGCCACCCGGAAUUACAGUUCCUUUCUGCCGGGUCACACGCUACCUUCCACGUGUUACCUAAGAGAGCUUUCCAGCCUGUGCUGAGAAAACCGCCCUACAUCGUCUGCAGCAGGACUGGGGGGCUGGAGCCCUGGUCAGGCCACUCUGCUUCUGGCCACAGUUUUCUCAUCUCUAAAAAGGCACAGUAACAAUAUAAUGACCGUGUGGAGUCCCCCAGGAUACAGGGUCAAAGGAGAGCACAACCAUCGCAGUUUCAAGCCCAUGGGGCAGAAACGAGGUCUCGCUGUGUUACCCGGGCUGGAGUGCAGUGGCUACUUACAGGCAUGAUCAUAGCACACUGCAGCCUCGAACUCCUGGACUAAAGCAGUUCUCCUGCCUCAGCCUCCAAAGCAGCUGGGACUGCAGACACACACCACAGACAGAGCCCAGCCUGAGUCAUUCUGAUUCUGUAACUGGCUUCCUCUCGGUGAGCUGGCUCACACCCUCCACCCCCAGCUGGAGAAGGAAAGAGGAUGCUCACCGUUCAUUCCUCAUGCAGGCCAUCGAUGGAAAUGUCAGAUAGUGCGAGUCCACGCCUGAACACCUCUGGGGUCCGCUCUGGGACUGACACUGGCAGAUUCAUCGAUGAGCUCCCGCCUGCCACCUCUGGGCCUGCAUUGCGGUGAUAUGGCCAAGGGCCUGGGUCUUCAAUUCUCCAGACUUGCCGAAUGCACAGCGCAGGCUUCGUCGGCAACUGCAGACAAGCAGAGGCAGCACCUGGGCUCUGCCUGUGCCUGGUACAGUGAGGCGAGGGUGGGGGUAGGAAUGAGGGUCCUCUCCGUGCAAGGGGGGAAGAUAGAAGAACAGAAUUUCACCCUAACAUAGUGUCUUUAGACCAUGAAA